rnacentral:rRNA from 1 species
AACGAACGCUGGCGGCGUGGAUAAGACAUGCAAGUCGAACGCUGAUUUCAAGGUAGCAAUAUUUUUGAAGUUGGAGUGGCGCAAGGGUGUGUAACACGUGGGUAAUCUGCCGUGAAGCCUGGGAUAACUUGCUGAAAGGCGAGCUAAUACCGGAUGUGACAAUUGGAAGGCAUCUUCUGAUUUUCAAAGUUGGGGACCGCAAGGCCUGACGCUUUAUGAUGAACCCGCGGCCUAUCAGCUAGUUGGUGAGGUAAUAGCUCACCAAGGCUAAGACGGGUAGCUGGUCUGAGAGGACGACCAGCCACACUGGAACUGAGACACGGUCCAGACACCUACGGGUGGCAGCAGUCGAGAAUUUUUCUUCAAUGGGCG